AGAUGAGGCCGGAGAACAACCCCUAGCAGCCCUCUUUCCCUCGGUCUCUCUGUUCUCUCACUCUCGUCUGACUCUCUCUCUCUCUCACUCUCACCGUCUCUCCCUCUCAACGCUUGAGUCUCUCUCUCUCUCUCUCUCUCUCUCUCAACGUCUUUCUCUCUCCCUCUUAACUCUCAAACAGUGAAGCCGUAGUCGGUGACCACUGACCGGUGGUGACUGCCUUUGCCGUUUCCGUUUCCAUUUCCGGCGGUGAGUCUGUGAUCGUUCAACGACUGCUAUUUCCGUUCCGUUGCUGCUGCCGUUCAGCAACUCAAACGACUGAAACCCUAGAUCUACAACUGUCUCUCUUCGUUUCCGGUGACACACAACUCUCAAACAAAUAUUGAGAACUUCCAGCCAGCUCUUUUCCGGCGCUGUUGCUGCUGCUGGUUUUUCUUGUUUUCUCUUGCUGCUGGUGUAUUCUGCUUUCUGCAAAUGAAGAAGAGGAAGGAAAAAUCUCAGGUGACACAUGAGAGGAAGAAGCAGUUGAUGAAACUGAGGCUCAAAGCUGAGAAGGUUGCAGCCUGUCUAGUGGAAGUAGUAUUACAGGUGAACUGUUUUUUUUUCCCAUUUGAAUUGAAAUUUACAAGUCUCAAUAAAGUUUUAAGCAAAAAAGAUAGUUCUUUUUGCUAGUAGGCCUCAAAUUAGGAUUGAAUACUACACACUUAAGAACAUUAGAGGCAUGGAAAUGUGUGCUUUUUGGAAAGAUUUUUUUUUAGACGAAAAUCGGUUGGUGAUGUGUUUACGAAAAUCAAUGGCACAACACGGCACCAUCGGCACGAUUUAAAAAGGCACGGCACGGCACGACACACGAUUAAGUAAACGGGCCGGCACGACACGACGCGACAAAAAAGGCAUGGCACGACACAAUAAAAAGUGCAUGGCACGACACAGCAAAACACCAUGGACGCCACCACUGAAGCCACUCCUUUUCUCCCCGACUCCGAUCUCUCGCUCUUUCAUAAGGUCAGUGUUCCGACUCCAGCCCUUCUUUGGGUCAAGUGUCUCAAUUUGUAUUCGAAGCACUCGGCUUGGUUCGAGAACAAAUAGGAUGCGAAAUUUGAACUUUGUUGCUGGAAAAUGAAUUUUGAGUUGCUGAAUAUUAUGCGGUUUUGCUGUACGGCCUUUCUUAUUCAUUUGGCUAUUUACUCAUGAAUUUUGAGAUAAGAUAUUGUCACUCGUAAAGUUGUUUGGCUCAAUAUUUAUCAGAUGUAGUCAAGGGCCCAAGCUACAGUAACGCACUACAAAGUGGAAUUAACAUUUCUUCAGAAAUAGGUUGGUUAACUACUGAGAGACUAUUGGUGGUUGUAUUUUAAUUACAUAGCUCCAUUGCUUAGAGGUUAGGAUGGAGGUAGGAACAGUCAUUUAGUUAAAAAAAAUGGUAUGAUUCAACCUGCUAUAUCCUGAUUUUUCGAAGAAUGGAGGUAGGAGCAGUCAUUUAGUUUUAAGAGGUUAUGAUGGGGGUAGGAGCAGUCAAUGAGCUUUGUAUUUGCUUAAAGAAUAGAAGGGCAAAAUAAACUCAUUUGAAACUACAUGAAAAUUCCUAGGACUACUUGAGAAGCGACUUAGUAUUUAGCAUAAAGGAUUGGGAGCCCAUUGUCAAGUACUUCAUUGAUUUUCCAUUGCUAUUAGGUGACAAGAUGUGUUGAUAAUGCGCAUGGUCAAGUCAGUCCGUAGGAAGAGAAGACUAUUGAUGCUUUGAUAAAAGCAAGGUCAACCUUUUCAUAACUCGAGACUUAGGUUGACCUUUCUCUUUCUGUCUUUUUUGUUUUGGAACACGUACUUUUAUGCUGCUUCAUCGUAGUACCCCUUGUUGUUUUCUUAGUAGGCGUAGGAGGUGGCCCUUGGGACAAGAUGAGGGAGUUUGAUGAUAACAUCCCUGAUCAAGCCUUUGUCAAUUUUAAGGUUCCCACUAGUUUGUCCAUUUGAAUAUUGACAAUACAGCAAGUGUCCAUGUCUGCAUUUUGCUGAAAUUCAGUAGUUUAGUUGACGGAUGGGGAAUGCUUCAAUAAGGGUCUCUCUUCCCCCACCUCGUUACAGUGCAGCUUCUACCGGCAAUAGCUCAAAACUAUACAACUUAAGCACUUUUCAGCAAAGUACCCCUCCCUACCCUGGAUACAGCAAUUAAGACUGCUCCAUCUUCAAGUUUUGAUCAGGUUAGUAUCUCAAUCAAUAUUCUUGCUACAUCUAUUCCUGCUACAUCCUAUAUUGUAAUAUAGUAGAAGACCGACUGCAUCUGAUUUUGGUAGUGCACAAGAUCAUAUUGCAUAAUAGAUGGUGGUUUGUUUUUUUUACAAAUUGUCAUUUUAGUGGAGUAUCCCACGGUUCUGCUUUGGGUUACGGACUAUGAAGAUCAACGUUAGAUUUUGGUUGUGGAUUCUACGUGCAGCGAGUUGAACUUUUUGUUUGGAUACAUUUUGUUUAAUAUUACAUGGUUAGUAUACUGUCGCUUCGAUUUUUGGUUU